rnacentral:rRNA from 1 species
AAUAGAUACCCAGGUAGUCCACGCCGUAAACGAUGAGUGCUAAGUGUUAGAGGGUUUCCGCCCUUUAGUGCUGCAGCUAACGCAUUAAGCACUCCGCCUGGGGAGUACGGUCGCAAGACUGAAACUCAAAGGAAUUGACGGGGGCCCGCACAAGCGGUGGAGCAUGUGGUUUAAUUCGAAGCAACGCGAAGAACCUUACCAGGUCUUGACAUCCUCUGACAACUCUAGAGAUAGAGUGUUCCCCUUCGGGGGACAGAGUGACAGGUGGUGCAUGGUUGUCGUCAGCUCGUGUCGUGAGAUGUUGGGUUAAGUCCCGCAACGAGCGCAACCCUUGAUCUUAGUUGCCAGCAUUUAGUUGGGCACUCUAAGGUGACUGCCGGUGACAAACCGGAGGAAGGUGGGGAUGACGUCAAAUCAUCAUGCCCCUUAUGACCUGGGCUACACACGUGCUACAAUGGAUGGUACAAAGGGCUGCAAGACCGCGAGGUCAAGCCAAUCCCAUAAAACCAUUCUCAGUUCGGAUUGU